AUAGGCGAAAGCCUGACAGGGUUACUCUGAGUGAUGCCCGCUAAGGGCAUCUUUUAGCACCUCUAAAAAUGGUGCAGAAUAAGGGGUGGGCAAGUCUGGCGUCAGCCGCCGCGGUAAUACCAGCACCCCGAGUGGUUGGGACGAUUAUUGGGCCUAAAGCAUCCGUAGCCGGUUCUGCAAGUCCUCCGUUAAAUCCACCUGCUCAACAGAUGGGCUGCGGGGGAUACCGCAGAGCUAGGAGGCGGGAGAGGCAAACGGUACUCAGUGGAUAGGGGUAAAAUCCAUUGAUCCACUGAAGACCACCAGUGGCGAAGGCGGUUUGCCAGAACGCGCUCGACGGUGAGGGAUGAAAGCCGGGGGAGCAAACCGGAUUAGAUACCCGCGUAGUCC
rnacentral:rRNA from 1 species